rnacentral:rRNA from 1 species
GGACCCGCACAAGCAGUGGAGCAUGUGGUUUAAUUCGAAGAUACGCGCAGAACCUUACCAACGCUUGACAUGUUCGUCGCGAAACUAAGAGAUUAGUUUCUUCAGUUCGGCUGGACGAAACACAGGUGCUGCAUGGCUGUCGUCAGCUCGUGUCGUGAGAUGUUGGGUUAAAGUCCCGCAACGAGCGCAACCCCCUACUUUUAGUUGCCACCAUUAAGUUGGGCACUUUAAAAGAACUGCCAGUGAUAAGCUGGAGGAAGGUGGGGAUGACGUCAAGUCCUCAUGGCCCUUAUGUGUUGGGCUACACACGUGCUACAAUGGCACUUACAAUGGGAUGCAAAGAGGUGACUCUAAGCUAAUCCCAAAAAUGUGUCUCAGUUCGGAUUGUACUCUGUAACUCGAGUGCAUGAAGCUGGAAUUGCUAGUAAUCGC